rnacentral:rRNA from 1 species
UGGGGAAUUUUGGACAAUGGGCGAAAGCCUGAUCCAGCAAUGCCGCGUGUGUGAAGAAGGCCUUCGGGUUGUAAAGCACUUUUGUCCGGAAAGAAAUCCUUGGCUCUAAUACAGUCGGGGGAUGACGGUACCGGAAGAAUAAGCACCGGCUAACUACGUGCCAGCAGCCGCGGUAAUACGUAGGGUGCAAGCGUUAAUCGGAAUUACUGGGCGUAAAGCGUGCGCAGGCGGUUUGCUAAGACCGAUGUGAAAUCCCCGGGCUCAACCUGGGAACUGCAUUGGUGACUGGCAGGCUAGAGUAUGGCAGAGGGGGGUAGAAUUCCACGUGUAGCAGUGAAAUGCGUAGAGAUGUGGAGGAACACCGAUGGCGAAGGCAGCCCCCUGGGCAAUACUGACGCUCAUGCACGAAAGCGUGGGGAGCAAACAGGAUUAGAUACCCUGGUAGUCCACGCCCUAAACGAUGUCAACUAGUUGUUGGGGAUUCAUUCCUUAGUAACGUAGCUAACGCGUGAAGUUGACCGCCUGGGGAGUACGGUCGCAAGAUUAAAACUCAAAUGAAUUGACGGGGUCAUAGCUGUUUCCU